rnacentral:rRNA from 1 species
GACAGAGGGUGCAAACGUUGUUCGGAAUUACUGGGCGUAAAGCGUGUGUAGGCGGCCAUGUAAGUCGGACGUGAAAGCCCCAGGCUCAACCUGGGAAGUGCACUCGAUACUGCGUGGCUUGAGUAUCGGAGAGGUUGGUGGAAUUCUCGGUGUAGAGGUGAAAUUCGUAGAUAUCGAGAGGAACACCGGUGGCGAAGGCGGCCAACUGGACGAAUACUGACGCUGAGACACGAAAGCGUGGGGAGCGAACAGG